UAGUUGCUUAAGUGAAGUAGAAUUUCCCUUUUCCUCGAUGGUUCCAAUGAAUUCUCACAAGUCUGAACACCAGUCUGUUUCCCCUGUGCCUCCACCUUUCUUCUGUCUAAGGAAGCUACUUUUCUCAAAUUUGACAUUUGAUGGCAACACUACCAAGAAUUUCCUAGGACUAUAAUGAGAAAGUACUAAGAUGAAGUAUGAAAUAACAUGGACAUUUCUGCUCUGCUCAAGGCUGUCAAAAUGUGGGAAUUGUUUUGUUCAUAUGUUCUCUUCCUGAGGUGGGUGCAGCAUUGAUUUUUGAAGAAAACUCUGGGCUUUCUUAGAAGUAACCCCUCUCGGCCUGCCUUCCUGUGGAGGUGUGCUUUAUGUUAUAAAUGCUCCUUACUUUACAUUUAUAAUUCAACACAUUUGCCUCCACUGACCUGUGAAAAAUAUCUAAAACUGGAUACAUUUGAAAUGUCAAAGCUUCAUUUGACUCUGAUUUGACCCACAAAAUACUUUCUCCUAAGUCAAAUACAAGUCCGAGUGUGUGAAGCCUAAGAAAUCUUUUCUUUGUCCCAGGAAUUUGUAGUUAUUUUCAACAUGGAUAUCUUCAGUUCCUUAUAGGAAGAGUUUUCCCCUGCUACAAGGUCUGAGCAUUAUUCACAUAGCCAAGAUAUGGAAACAACCUAAGUAUCCAUCUAGAGAUGAAUGGAUAAAGAAGAUGUAGUAUGUAUGUAAUGAAAUAUGAUUCCGUCAUAAGAAAGAAGGAAACCCUGUGGUCUGUGACAACAUGGAUGAAACUAAGUGAAAUAAGUGAAAGAAAGAUAAAUACUUAUGACUGUCACUUAUAUAUGGAACCAAAACAACAACAACAACAACAACAACAACAACAACAACAAGAAAAAGCGAACUCAAAGAAACUGACAAUUCCAAAUCUCUUGAGAUAGAAAAGACCUCUGAGGACAAAAGGAAACAGCACCAGAACACCUGCUAGCAUGACCUCAUGGGCCUCCUAUUAAUGGUAUCCACCUUCUCAGGAGACCCCUGCCCCAAAUUUUGCCCUUGAAAACCCUCACUUGCCAGCCAUCCAGGAGUUCAGGGCUUUUUAAGCAUUAGCUCCUUGUUUUCCCGAGCGGCCCACACCAAUAAAUAACCUAUCUUUCUUCA